rnacentral:rRNA from 1 species
GUGCCAGCCGCCGCGGUAAUACCGGCAGCCCGAGUGAUGGCCGAUCUUAUUGGGCCUAAAGCGUCCGUAGCUGGCUGCGCAAGUCCGUCGGGAAAUCCACUCGCCCAACGAGUGGGCGUCCGGUGGAAACUGUGUGGCUUGGGACCGGAAGGCGCGACGGGUACGUCCGGGGUAGGAGUGAAAUCCCGUAAUCCCGGACGGACUACCGAUGGCGAAAGCACUCUGAGAAGACGGCUUCGACAGUGAGGGACGAAAGCUCGGGUCUCAAACCGGAUUAGAAACCCUGGUAGUCC